rnacentral:rRNA from 1 species
AGAGUUUGAUCAUGGCUCAGAACGAACGCUGGCGGCAGGCUUAACACAUGCAAGUCGAACGCACCUUCGGGUGAGUGGCAGACGGGUGAGUAACGCGUGGGAACGUGCCUUCUGCUUCGGAAUAGCCCUGGGAAACUGGGGGUAAUACCGGAUGUGCCCUACGGGGGAAAGGAAGCUUCGGCCUCCGCAUCGGGAUGGGCCCGCGGCGCAUUAGCUUGUUGGUGGGGUAACGGCCUACCAAGGCGACGAUGCGUAGCUGGUCUGAGAGGACGAUCAGCCACACUGGGACUGAGACACGGCCCAGACUCCUACGGGAGGCAGCAGUGGGGAAUCUUGCGCAAUGCGCGAAAGCGUGACGCAGCAACGCCGCGUGAGGGAAGACGGCCUUCGGGUUGUAAACCUCUUUCAGGAGGGACGAAGCGUGUCUGGUGAAUAGCCAGUUCACGUGACGGUACCUCCACAAGAAGCCCCGGCUAACUACGUGCCAGCAGCCGCGGUAAUACGUAGGGGGCAAGCGUUGUCCGGAAUCAUUGGGCGUAAAGAGCGCGUAGGCGGCCCAGUAAGUCCGCUCUGAAAGUCAGGGGCUUAACCCCUGAAUGCGGGUGGAUACUGCUGGGCUAGAGUCCGGAAGAGGCGAGUGGAAUUCCUGGUGUAGCGGUGAAAUGCGCAGAUAUCAGGAGGAACACCGAUGGCGAAGGCAGCUCGCUGGGACGGUACUGACGCUGAGGCGCGAAAGCGUGGGGAGCAAACAGGAUUAGAUACCCUAGUAGUCC